rnacentral:misc_RNA from 1 species
UCCGGUUUGACACCGGCAGUCUCCCUAGAGUGCCCGGCAUAACCCGCUGGUAACUAGGGACGAGGGUUGCGCUCGUUGCGGGACUUAACCCGACACUUCACAGCACGAGCUGACGACAGCCAUGCAGCACCUGUAUACGUUUCACCCGAAGGCAGCUUACUCCUGUUUCCAAGAGGGCAUCCGCACAUGUCAAACCCAGGUAAGGUUCUUCGCGUUGCUUCGAAUUAAUCCACAUACUCCACCGCUUGUGUGAGCCCCCGUCAAUUCCUUUGAGUUUUAGCCUUGCGGCCGUACUCCCCAGGCGGCGCACUUACCAUUUUUACUUCGGCACGAUCGACGUGAGAGUCUCUCAUACCUAGUGCGCAUCGUUUACGGCGUGGACUAC